UGGGUCCUACGGGGCGCAGCAGUCGGGAAUAUUGCGCAAUGGAGGAAACUCUGACGCAGUGACGCCGCGUGCAGGAAGAAGGUUUUCGGAUUGUAAACUGCUUUAGACAGGGAAGAAAAAAGACAGUACCUGUAGAAUAAGCUCCGGCUAACUACGUGCCAGCAGCCGCGGUAAUACGUAGGGAGCAAGCGUUAUCCGGAUUUAUUGGGUGUAAAGCGAGUGCAGGCGGUUCAAUAAGUCUGAUGUGAAAGCCUUCGGCUCAACCGGAGAAUUGCAUCAGAAACUGUUGUAUCUGA
rnacentral:rRNA from 1 species